rnacentral:rRNA from 1 species
AAAUGAAUUGACGGGGGCCCGCACAAGCAGCGGAGCAUGUGGCUUAAUUCGAAGCAACGCGAAGAACCUUACCAGGGCUUGACAUGGUAGUGAAGCGGUGGAAACACCGUGGCCGAAAGGAGCUACCACAGGUGGUGCAUGGCUGUCGUCAGCUCGUGUCGUGAGAUGUUGGGUUAAGUCCCGCAACGAGCGCAACCCUUGUCGUAUGUUGCCAGCACGUAAUGGUGGGAACUCAUGCGAGACCGCCGGCGUCAAGCCGGAGGAAGGUGGGGACGACGUCAAGUCAUCAUGCCCUUUAUGUCCUGGGCUGCACACGUGCUACAAUGACCGGCACAACGGGCUGCGAACCUGCGAAGGUAAGCGAAUCCCUUAAAACCGGUCCCAGUUCGGAUCGGAGGCUGCAACUCGCCUCCGUGAAGUCGGAGUUGCUAGUAAUCGCGGAUCAGCAUGCCGCGGUGAAUCCGUUCCCGGGCCUUGUACACACCGCCCGU